rnacentral:rRNA from 1 species
UACAGGAGGGGCAAGCGUUGUUCGGAAUUACUGGGCGUAAAGGGCGCGUAGGCGGCCUUCUAAGUCGAACGUGAAAUCCCUGGGCUCAACCCAGGAACUGCGUCCGAUACUGGAAGGCUUGAAUCCGGGAGAGGGAUGCGGAAUUCCAGGUGUAGCGGUGAAAUGCGUAGAUAUCUGGAGGAACACCGGUGGCGAAGGCGGCAUCCUGGACCGGUAUUGACGCUGAGGCGCGAAAGCCAGGGGAGCAAACGGG